rnacentral:rRNA from 3 species
CCCAGACAGCCAGGAUGUUGGCUUAGAAGCAGCCAUCAUUUAAAGAAAGCGUAAUAGCUCACUGGUCGAGUCGGCCUGCGCGGAAGAUGUAACGGGGCUAAACCAUGCACCGAAGCUGCGGCAGCGAACGUAUCACUUAAAGCGAUUCAGCGGGUUACGAUUGACGGAGCGAAGCGACGUCAAAGCGUAUACAAAGUCGAGUCGGUUUAAGGAUACGUUCGUUGGGUAGGGGAGCGUUCUGUAAGCCCGUGAAGGUGGCCUGUGAGGGUUGCUGGAGGUAUCAGAAGUGCGAAUGCUGACAUAAGUAACGAUAAAGCGGGUGAAAAGCCCGCUCGCCGGAAGACCAAGGGUUCCUGUCCAACGUUAAUCGGGGCAGGGUGAGUCGACCCCUAAGGCGAGGCCGAAAGGCGUAGUCGAUGGGAAACGGGUUAAUAUUCCCGUACUUGGUGUUACUGCGAAGGGGGGACGGAGAAGGCUAUGUUGGCCGGGCGACGGUUGUCCCGGUUUAAGCGUGUAGGUGUGUGUUCCAGGUAAAUCCGGUUCACUUUAACACUGAGGCGUGACGACGAGGCACUACGGUGCUGAAGCAACAAAUGCCCUGCUUCCAGGAAAAGCCUCUAAGCAUCAGGUAACACGAAAUCGUACCCCAAACCGACACAGGUGGUCAGGUAGAGAAUACCAAGGCGCUUGAGAGAACUCGGGUGAAGGAACUAGGCAAAAUGGUGCCGUAACUUCGGGAGAAGGCACGCUGACACGUAGGUGAAGUGAUUUACUCAUGGAGCUGAAGUCAGUCGAAGAUACCAGCUGGCUGCAACUGUUUAUUAAAAACACAGCACUGUGCAAACACGAAAGUGGACGUAUACGGUGUGACGCCUGCCCGGUGCCGGAAGGUUAAUUGAUGGGGUCAGCGUAAGCGAAGCUCCUGAUCGAAGCCCCGGUAAACGGCGGCCGUAACUAUAACGGUCCUAAGGUAGCGAAAUUCCUUGUCGGGUAAGUUCCGACCUGCACGAAUGGCGUAAUGAUGGCCAGGCUGUCUCC